rnacentral:rRNA from 1 species
UGAGACAGUUCGGUCCCUAUCUGCCGUGGGCGUUGGAAAUUUGAAGGGGGCUGCUCCUAGUACGAGAGGACCGGAGUGGACGAACCUCUGGUGUUCGGGUUGUGACGCCAGUCGCAUUGCCCGGUAGCUAUGUUCGGACAGGAUAACCGCUGAAAGCAUCUAAGCGGGAAACUUGCCUCAAGAUGAGAUCUCACUGGAGCCUUGAGCUUCCUGAAGGGCCGUCGAAGACUACGACGUUGAUAGGUUGGGUGUGUAAGCGCUGUGAGGCGUUGAGCUAACCAAUACUAAUUGCCCGUGAGGCUUGACC